AAGUCGUAACAAGGUUUCCGUAGGUGAACCUGCGGAAGGAUCAUUAACGAGUCGGGGUCCAUCCGGGCCCGAACUCCCACCCUCUGUCGUCGCGAAUCACGUUGCCUCGGCGGGAAACCCUCCGCUCCGGAGGGGACGAGCCCCUGGGCCCGCCCGCCGCAGGUCCAUACAAACCUUGCUUUAACAACGAUGUCGGAGUGAUUUUAUUAAUAAUGAAUCAAAA
rnacentral:misc_RNA from 1 species